CCGCGUGAGUGAUGAAGGUUUUCGGAUCGUAAAACUCUGUUGUCAGGGAAGAACAAGUAUCGGAGUAACUGCCGGUACCUUGACGGUACCUGACCAGAAAGCCACGGCUAACUACGUGCCAGCAGCCGCGGUAAUACGUAGGUGGCAAGCGUUGUCCGGAAUUAUUGGGCGUAAAGCGCGCGCAGGCGGUCUUUUAAGUCUGAUGUGAAAGCCCCCGGCUCAACCGGGGAGGGUCAUUGGAAACUGGGAGACUUGAGUGCAGAAGAGAAGAGUGGAAUUCCACGUGUAGCGGUGAAAUGCGUAGAGAUGUAGAGGAACACCAGUGGCGAAGGCGACUCUUUGGUCUGUAACUGACGCUGAGGCGCGAAAGCGUGGGGAGCGAACAGGAUUAGAUACCCUGGUAGUCCACGCCGUAAACGAUGAGUGCUAAGUGUUAGAGGGUUUCCGCCCUUUAGUGCUGCAGCAAACGCAUUAAGCACUCCGCCUGGGGAGUACGGCCGCAAGGCUGAAACUCAAAGGAAUUGACGGGGGCCCGCACAAGCGGUGGAGCAUGUGGUUUAAUUCGAAGCAACGCGAAGAACCUUACCAGGUCUUGACAUCCUCUGACCUUCCUAGAGAUAGGACUUUCCCCUUCGGGGGACAGAGUGACAGGUGGUGCAUGGUUGUCGUCAGCUCGUGUCGUGAGAUGUUGGGUUAAGUCCCGCAACGAGCGCAACCCUCG
rnacentral:rRNA from 1 species